UUAUUCUCUUCAAGAUUUCAGUUUAAUGACCCAAGUGGUUAAGAAUUGGGAGAAACCUUAAAACCAAAAUAAAACCCCAAACAAUAAUUUUCUCUCUCCUCUGAUUUUAUACCCCGUAAUGUGCAUGCUCAAUUUCUGCAUUUUGGAGUUGGAAUUUGACCAAACUUAUUGAAUCAAAGUUGUAUAUAUUGAAAAGUUAUUGAACUUAGACCCAAAGAUCACUUGAUUUGGAGUUCGGAGCUAUGAGUUAUGGUCUUUGCAAAUUUGGUGUUGCUACCUCCAUUUCUCUCUCCUCUGUUUUAUUCUGACAAUCUGUUGCCCCAAUUAUCUACAACAUGAAAUCCAAUUUUGCUCUUUGUUGCUGAAUCAAAGUUGUAGAUCACUUCGAGCUAAUGAAUUUGGGCACAAAAAUCACUUGAUUUGGAGUUCAGAGCUAUGAGUUAUGGUCUUUUUGUAGAUCACUUCGAGCUAAUGAAUUUGAGAACAAAAAUCGCUCAAUUUGGAGUUCGGAGAUAUGAGUUACGCCUUACACAAGUUCAGCACUACUGCUGUACUUUGUGUUGCGCUGCUGCCGUGAUUGGCUUGCUUGCCUUGUUGCUGCCAUUAUCUUGGUAUUCCUUUCCAUAUGAAGGGUUCAUUGUUAGUGAUUUUGCAGGGUUGAUGUCGAGGUCGUGGAAUAUGAUUAUUGAUCAAGAAGAAGAGUUUUAUGUUAUGAAAUGGUGGGCUGAGGUUAAAGUUAGAUGUUUUGUUUCAAAGUAUUCGUAAUCUGUUAUUUGAUUUUCAAGUUGUUAUAUUGUGGGCCCCUGACCCACAGAUCCAGGAUCGUUUUUAUAGGUUUUGUUUCCGCUGUAAAUAAAUGUAAAUUCGAGGUUUGUUAAGUGUUGAUUGUGUUUUGUGUA